CACAGUGGCUGCUGUGAGGCUGCACAGCGGCUGUGAGUUACAGGUUGUGAGUUACUCACAGGCUGCACAGCGGCUGUUACUCAGGUUACACAGCGGCUGUGACUUACAGGUUUCACUGUGGCUGCUGUGAGUUAUUCACAGUGGCCGCUGUGAGUUACAGGUUACACAGUGGCUGUUACUCACAGGUUACACAGCAGCGACUGUGAGUUACUCACAGGUUACACAGUGGCUGUGAGUCACUCACAGGUUACACAGUGGCUGUUACAGGUUACACAGCGGCUGUGAGUUACCCACAGGUUACACAGUGGCUGUUACUCACAGGUUACACAGCAGGUGCUGUGAGUUACUCACAGGUUACACAGUGGCUGUGAGUCACUCAGGUUACACAGCGGGUGCUGUGAGUUACUCACAGGUUACACAAUGGCUGUGAGUCACAGGUUACACAGUGGCUGUUACAGGUUACACAGCGGCUGUGAGUUACCCACAGGUUACACAGUGGCUGUUACUCACAGGUUACACAGCAGGUGCUGUGAGUUACUCACAGGUUACACAGUGGCUGUGAGUCACUCAGGUUACACAGUGGCUGUUACAGGUUGCACAGCAGUGGCUGUGAGUUACUCACAGGUUACACAGCGGCUGCUGUGAGUUACUCACAGGCUACACCCCAGCUCCGCGAUGCAGGAGGAGCAGCCGCCCCGUGGCUUGACAUUCUUUGGCCGUUUCCCGGGGCUCGGAACGUUCUGGAGCCGCUCGGGGCUGGGGCCGGAGCCCUGGAGGAGCCCUGGAGGAGCCCUGGAGGAGCCCUGGAGGAGCUCUGGAGGAGCUCUGGAGGAGCUCUGGAGGAGCCCUGGAGGAGCCCUGGAGGAG